GAUGAACGCUGGCGGCGUGCCUAAUACAUGCAAGUCGAGCGAACAGACGAUGAGCUUGCUCCUCUGACGUUAGCGGCGGACGUGUGAAUAACACGUGGAUAACCUACCUAUAAUACUGGGAUAACUUCGGGAAACCGGAGCAAAUACCAGAUAAUAUCUUGAACCGCAUGGGUCAAUAGUAAAAGACGGCUUUUGUGUCACGUAUAGAUGCAUACCCGCCGGUUGAGCUGGUUGUUAAGGUCACGGCUUACGAAGGCAACGAUGCGUAGGCGACAGGCGAGGGUGGGCGGCCACACUGGAAGUGAGACCGGGUCCAGAGUCCUAGGGGAGGCAGCAGUAGGGAAUCUUCCGGAAUGGGCGAAAGCUUGACGGAGCAACGCCGCGUGAUGGAUGAAGGUCGUCGGAUCGUAAAACUCUGUUAUUAGGGGAGAACAAAUGUGUAAGUAACUAUGCACGUGUUGAAGGUACCUAAUCAGAGAGGCACGGCUAACUUCGGU
rnacentral:rRNA from 1 species